UCUAAGUUUAAGCACCUAAACGGCGAAACUGCGAAUGGCUCAUUAAAUCAGUUAUCGUUUAUUUGAUAGUACCUACUACAUGGAUAACCGUGGUAAUUCUAGAGCUAAUACAUGCUAAAAAUCCCGACUUCGGAAGGGAUGUAUUUAUUAGAUUAAAAACCAAUGCCCUUCGGGGCUCACUGGUGAUUCAUAAUAACUUCUCGAAUCGCAUGGCCUUGCGCUGGCGAUGGUUCAUUCAAAUUUCUGCCCUAUCAACUUUCGACGGCUGGGUCUUGGCCAGCCAUGGUGACAACGGGUAACGGAGGGUUAGGGCUCGACCCCGGAGAAGGAGCCUGAGAAACGGCUACUACAUCC
rnacentral:rRNA from 1 species